CGCCAAUGGACGGAACUACGGCAUAUCACUUCAUGAACUCAUGGGCUGAGAUGGCGCGUGGCAUUCCUAUUAGCGUUCCACCAAUCUUUGAUCGAACUAUACUAGAUGUUGGAGUCCCAACUUCUCCAUCAUUUCACCACAUCGAAUACGAUCCCCCUCCUUCCAUGAAUACUCCUACUCAAAAUCCUCAAGCCAUUUCCACUACAAUCCUGAAAUUAUCACCUGAUCAAAUGAACAUCCUUAAAGAAAAAUCUAAGGGAGAUCACGGAUCCACUGUCAAGUAUACUAGAUUUGAGAUUGUAACAGCACAUAUAUGGCGCUGCCCAUGUAAAGCACGAGGGUUGUCUGUUGAUCAAGCUACCAAGUUAGAGAUUCCCACAUCUGGGCGAUUUAAAUUGAAUCCUAAAAUUCCACUUGGGUAUUGUGGCAAUGUAAACUUCAGGGCCACACCAAUGGCCUUGUCAGGUGAUAUUCAAUCGGAAUCAUUAAAUUGUACAACAGAGAGAAUUCAUGAAGCAAUUAAAUUGAGGGAUGACAAGUAUAUGAAUGGGGUCGGCCGGUGUUUACGAUGCCUUUGUUCGGCAUGGACGGAGAUGUUUUCAUUUUACCGGGUCCAACCAAUGAUGGGAGCUGGUUGGUGGUUGUAGACAUGGAAACUAACCACUUGCAGCACUUCAACAAGUAUUUUUAUGAUAUCUUUCCGUAAUCCCACGAUGUAAUAUCUUUGGGUGUUGUGUUGAUACUAACCAUCUUAUUAUUUGCUGGUAUGUUUGUAAUAACGAACACCCUUUUGUCCUUUCGAAAUGAUUAAUGAACUGCUUGAAUGCAUUGAAUAUAGAGAGCUGCUAAAACUGAGAAUUGGAGAAUUGAUGAUCAUACAAAAGCUUAUCUCAGGCAUCAUUCACGACUUUGGACUGGACAGCCAAGAAAAUUCUGUUAGCUUAUAGGAUAAUAGCGUCAAGGCCCCUAAGUUUCUGCCUCUUAUUAACCAAAUUACAUUUUCUUCUAUUUCUCAAAUAUGCCCAUAAUCCCGGCAAAAAUAUAACUGAAAUAACUUUUGUAUCGUUAUGAUCUAAUACAACUAUGAUAAAAAAAUCUAUUUUCGAUAAAAACGUACAAAUUAUAAGUAACUUUGUUCUUCAUUCAACAAAACAAGAAAACUUGAAAACACAAACUCAGUCAAAUUUUUCAGUAACAGUUUUAUCUCUCGCCAAAGCAGAGUGUUAAGACAUUAAAGGCAAUCUCAUUGAAACAUAUAAAACCAUGCGCAAUAAUAAUUUUUUAACUUAAAACUUUAUGAAUUAUGAUUGGUGAUUGCAAUGCGGACUUACUGAACAACACAGGUCAAAACUCAAUUAAAAAAUAAUAAUACAUCAAUUUCAAGCCCAACGUCGUCAUCUGAAACACUACAAAGAAAAUUCUAAUCAAACACCAAUAGAUGAACCAUCACUUGGUUAGUAUCAGAACCUUAUUCUUAGCACAGAUGUUUAAUAUUAGAUAAUUAUUAGCUCAUUAAAGCUGUACUCGGAUAAAAAUGGCAGUAAAAAGACACUGAUAAUAUUGUCUUCAAAACAGGCAAGAGCAACAUCUUGACUGUCAACUUACAAGACACCAAACAAACUAGGAAACUGCAUCACUUCAAAACUCUAACAUGACGGUUAAACUGUUUGCUCAGCUUGUAAGAUUUAAAUCACAUUUACAUUUACAGGAAUCCUCCCUUGGGCAUCACAUCAAAACUCUAACAUGACGGUUAAACUGUUCGCUCAGCUUGUAAGAUUUAAAUCACAUUUACAGUAUGAUGCCCAAGGGAGGAUUCCUGUUUCACUAUAUGGCCUGAGUACAGUCUUCUCACAAUAUGUUCCAAUGAAAAAUUAAAGUUAUAUUGAACCAACCUAUUUCUGGAAUGAUAUUGAGUAGGUGCCAGUGUUCGGAUCUUUAACAGCUUUGAAGUUGUUGGUGCUCAUCCCAAAACGGCCCAGGAUAGAGUUACCCAUUUCUUUUAGCUUUCCUGCUCAAAGGAAACAAUUUCACAUUUUGGUUAAUGAAUAACUGAUGAAGCAUGCACACAAAAGCAUAAGAAAUGUCGGAUGAAAAUUGUAGCCUAGAUGUUUGUCAAGACGAAGAAUUAGGUAAUCUAAUUAUAUAUAACCAUUAUUCUAAUACAAAUCCUUUUCUGACAACACAACUCCCCCACCCUCUGUGUGUACCGAUGAUAACCCUUCAAAUAAAAUGACUUCACUGUAUGACUAGUAGGAAAUGGCUCUGCACAUACCAAAGCAUGAGCACAGGCAUAGAAUCCUUGUUUGUCAAAGGUGUGUCAUACCCAAAAAAUUAUAUAAAAAAGAGAAAAAAGAAGACAUCAAACAGGACCAAACAACCAUUGAGGAUCAUAUAAAAUAUCUCUUUUCAGUAGUGUGGUCGGUAUUAAACUUCAAACUUUGAAAUACUUCCUCCACACUCAAAUUGAAUUUUCUACACCCUCCGAAAACUUCUGUUUAAUCCUCACAUUUAAUUGAAAGAUGUUGGGGGUAAAGCAGAUUCUAUAAACAAGUAACAACUAUCACUUCCCAUGCAUGUUAUGUUCCAAAACCAAUUAAUUCUUUCGAUCAUCAAACACCUAGUCCUUACAGACUAUCUCAAGGAAGCAUGCUCAAAAUCUCAUUCACAACAAUAACUUCACUUAGUCCAACCUACAAUUUUAAUUAAUUAAUCUUCUCUUUCCAUUAUCUGUUCCAACUUCUAGCUGCAUGUAAGAAUUCAUCUACUUCUUACUCGGAGGUAUUAACGGACCAUCAUAAAAAGCAGUUUGCAAAGACAUGAAAUUGCAUAUGGCUAUGAGUUCUCAACAAUGUAACAACAAAUAUACUAUAAAGGCACUAAUAAUAAGGGUGAACUGGUUAAAAAGUAAUGAAAAAACGAAGUCUAGAUGCCUCAUUCAUUUGCUCCAAUUGAUGAAGAUGGAGAAUGGUGUGCCUCAGAAACAGUCUUAAAUUUUUGUUUCAACGUCUUCCAACAACCAACUCUGCAGGCAGAGAUGUAUCUCCGUGAUGCAGGAUGCACAUGUAUUUGGGUGGAAACAAGUGGACUUGCUAAUGAGAAGCAAGAGAGUUCCAUCAGCGUACACUCAAUUUGGGUUAAAGGUCUUGAUGGAACCUUAUUUCACCAAGAGAUCUUCAGUCCUUAUAUGAUUGUAAAUUCCUAUUUCUGUAUCGACAGCUUUCUUUACUGCCAUUUAUAUCAUUCUUUGAUACGCACUAAUGUUUCACAGUUUCUUAAUGAGAAGAAAAUGAAAUCGCAGAAGAAAAUCAUUGCCAAGCUUACCAAUCAUCUCUUCCUUCAUCUUUUCAAGUUUUUCCUCUGCCAGUGGCUGCAAACGAAGAAUGGUUCUCUUGGCUUGAUUAUUUGAAGGAUCAAAUUCCAAGAUUUUCUUCAUCUGUGAUAGAAAAAAUGAAGAAAAGUUCAAAGAAAAUGACAUUUGAAAUUAGAAGUAGUUAUGAAGGUGCCACAAAUCAGCCUGUGAAAUGUAAAGAACUUCAUGGAAGGUCGACAAAAAAAUACAAGACUCAGGGUUCAAAACCAAACUACAUAAUCCAACAUAGAAUGAACAAGAAACUAAAACGUAUUUGUUAUGUGAAUGACAACAAUCAUCAAAUCCUGAAUACCAGCAAUAGCCUCUUCAAAGUGUUCAAGCUUUUCAUGUGCCUCUGCUCUUCUGAUCAGAGCUUUCAUAUAUGUAGGAUUAAGCUCCAAUGCCUUUGUGCAUUCUUUGAUAGACUCCUCGAAUUUUCCCUAAUGUAAAUUAUCAUCAAUCUGGAGUUAGAAAGACUAUAGGAAUCUUGGAUGCAAAACAAACAGCAUGAACCGCAGAUUCCACAGGAUAAACAAAAGUUGGCAGAUUUUAAAAUAUGAAGUACUUCUCCAUAAAUUUCUAUCUUCAUUUACCAUCUGAACUUGAACAUCAUCAUGUCUAUUUGAUAACAAUACAACAAAUCAGAAGGAGAAAGGAUCAGAUCCACUCAAAGUAAACUCCAAAGGUAAUAGUAAAAUGAACUACUAUAGAGAAUAAGGUUUUCGGAAUCUAAUAAAAAAAAUGCAUUAUAAACAAUGCUAAACAAACCGGGAUGAAAUCAGAACAUAAACAAACAGACUGACUGACAGAACUCAAAAACAUCAAAUGCCUCAUGCUUUACUAAUUUCUUCUUUAGUAACAACGCUGUCACAUUUAGCAAUUCACAUUUUCUAAAUCCUUUAAUACUUUAGGAUGCACAAACAAAACAAAGUGUUGUUAUUGAAUGAAAUGUGGAUAAAAGAGUAACAUACAAGCUUCAAAAAGCAUAUUCCACGAUUUGAAUGGCAUAUGGAACGCAGCUCUGCCAUUUCCGGCGCCGUCGCCACUUCCUUCUUCCCCGAUGCCGACUGCCCUUCCUUAGCCUCCGGCGCCGAAGCCAAUUCCGCUCUCUCCGGCACCGAUGCCACUCGCAAAGCUACCUCAUACUGUAACAACGCCUCCUCAUAUUUACCUUCACCAAACAACUUAUUCCCUUCGAGUUUCGCCUCAUUCGCUUCAUUUAACUAAAAGAACAAAAAGCAGAAUAUAUAUUGUAAACAGGACAGCUAAAAUAUUGAAGUAUUUUCACACAUUUUCAUUAACUGUAAUGCAUCAUUUGUAACUAAUAAAGAGAAAAUAAAGGGAACUAUAUAUGAGAGUAUCAAGGAGAAUAAUGGAAGAGAUUGUUGUUAGUAACUUGUGGAGAGUAUCAUGGAGCUUGAGAUUAUCUGAUAUGCCCCCGCAAGAGGGUGUUGCCAUUGGCGACACCCAUCUUGAACCUUAAUUCAGAAAAUGGUUGCUUGGAGAGGGGUUUGGUUAGGCUAUUAGCAAGUUGAUCUGCUGCAGAUAUAUAAGAUACGCGCAAUAGCCCUUUGUUGACCCAAUCGCGAACAAAAUGAUAAGCAAGAUCAAUGUGUUUUACCCUUGAAUGAAAGACUGGAUUGCAACACAAAUAGGUAGUUUCAAUAUUAUCACAAUAAAUGGUAGGAGUUUGACUCAAUUGAAGGCCAAGUUCUUGAAGUAGAUUCUGAACCCAUCNNNNNNNNNNNNNNNNNNNNNNNNNNNNNNNNNNNNNNNNNNNNNNNNNNNNNNNNNNNNNNNNNNNNNNNNNNNNNNNNNNNNNNNNNNNNNNNNNNNNNNNNNNNNNNNNNNNNNNNNNNNNNNNNNNNNNNNNNNNNNNNNNNNNNNNNNNNNNNNNNNNNNNNNNNNNNNNNNNNNNNNNNNNNNNNNNNNNNNNNNNNNNNNNNNNNNNNNNNNNNNNNNNNNNNNNNNNNNNNNNNNNNNNNNNNNNNNNNNNNNNNNNNNNNNNNNNNNNNNNNNNNNNNNNNNNNNNNNNNNNNNNNNNNNNNNNNNNNNNNNNNNNNNNNNNNNNNNNNNNNNNNNNNNNNNNNNNNNNNNNNNNNNNNNNUGGCUUAGCUCCACACAUAUUAGUUUUGGAGAGAAGAUCACAUAUAUACUUAUGUUGUGACAAAAACAGACCAGUAGUUGUUGGAAUGACUUCUAUACCCAAAAAGUAGUGUAGAUGGCCAAGGUCCUUAAUUGAGAAUUUCUUUGCUAACAAGUGAACAAAUUUAGAUAGAAAAUUACCAUUGUUGCCAGUGAGGAUAAGAUCAUCAACAUAGACCAAAAAGAAUGCAGUGAUGCCCCCGUGAUUGUAAAUAAAUAAAGAAGCAUCGGAGAUAGCAUUGUGAAAGCCAAUUUGAUGCAAGAAGGAAUAUAGUUCUUGGUACCAGGCACGGGGUGCUUGUUUUAACCCAUAUAAUGCUUUUCGUAACUUGCAAACAUGAUUGGGAAAAUGAUGAUUAGUGAACCCAGGGGGUUGAGACAUGUAAACUGCUUCUGAAAGUGUGCCAUGGAGAAAAGCAUUGUUGACAUCUAGUUGUUGGAGCGGCCAACCAUUAGCAAGAGCAAGACAAAGGAUGAAACGCACGGUUGUAGGCUUGACAACGGGACUGAAAGUUUCGGAGUAGUCAACAUCGACUCGUUGAUGAAAACCUUUGGCGACUAAGCGAGCUUUAUAGCGCUCUAUAGUGCCAUUUGGAUGUCGUUUGAUGCGAAAAAACCAUUUGCAGCCAAUGAUGUUUUGCGAUUGUAAAUAAGGAACUAGUUCCCAUGUCUGAUUUUGGAUUAAAGCUUUAUAUUCACAUAUCAUUGUAGCCUUCCAGUUGGGAUCUUGUAAAGCAUGUGCAACUGAUGUUGGUUCGAAAGUAUUAAGUAGGGGAUGUUUGGUGGUAACGAGAGUGAGUUUAUGUUUAGGCUUGAAGAUAUUAUUUUUCGCUCGAGUUAUCAUAUGGUGGUUUGGCCUAGUUUGCGAUGUUGAAUUGGUUGAGUUGGAAUCUUGAUCUGGUGAGUUUGAGGAUAAAGGUGAUGUAGGCAUGGUGGGCAAAGGAUCUGUCUCGAUGGAUGAAGGACUAGUCGCUGGAGAAUCAGUUAUGGCAUCAACCUGCAAGGAAGUAUUUUGAGUGGCACCAUUAUCUGCAUCAAACGUGUUAGAAGAAGAUACAAGUGGAGAAAAAUUGGCUGCCAUAGAUGGAGUCUAAUUAGAAUAAGAAGAAGUGGAAACACGAGUUUGAGAUAAAUCUAAACCAUGACAAGGAAAAGUAGAUUCAUAAAAAAUAACAUGACGUGAUAUAUACGUACGAUUAGAAACAUGAUCAAAACAUUUAUAGGCACUUUGUGAAGUGCAAUAUCCUAAAAAGAUACAAGCUUUAGACCUAGGUUCCAGUUUGAGUGGAAUAUGGAUGUAGCCAAGGGAAACACUGACAUCCAAAAAUUUUGAGUUUAUUGUAAUUAGGUUCACCACCAAAAAGUGUUUCAUAGGGACUUUUUAACUUAAGAAUAUUAGUGGGUAAGCGAUUAAUCAAAUAUACAGCUGUAUGAAAAGCAUAAGUCCAAAAACGUAUAGAAAGAGAUGCUUGAUGUAGUAAGGUAAGACCUGUUUCUACAAUGUGACGAUGACGUCGUUCACUAGUACCAUUAUGCUCAGGGGUAUAUGGAGUUGAUGUGAGAUGUGAAAUGUCACAUUUACUGAAAAAUGGUUUCAAUUUUAUAAAUUCUCCACCACCAUCUGAGAAAACAGAAACAAUGGAAGUCUUAAAAAAAAUUUCAACUAAGAUUUUAAAAUUGAUAAAGAUAUCGUACACAUCAGAUUUUUGUUUCAUUGGGUAAAACCAAAUAUAUUUUGUAAAAUGAUCCACGAAUAUAACGUAAAAUCGAAAAUUAUCAUGGGAAGUAAUAGGCGCAGGACCCCAAACAUCUGUGUAAAUAAGCUCUAAAAGUUUGGAGCUUGAAAGAGAAUUUUCAACAAAAGGGAGUCUAUGGCUUUUAUAACUAGCACAUGAAUUACAAAAGGAAUCAGAUUUAUUUCGUGUUACCGUCAAAGAAUUUUUAUUAAGAAUAUAUUGUAGAAUCUGAAAUGAAGGAUGGCCUAGUUGUUGAUGCCAAGUAGAAGUUGAAGUUGAUCUUGACGCAAAUACUAAAGGACUUUUGAUUGAAGAAGACAACAAAGGCCACUCGUACACUCCUUCCUUAUUCAGGCCGCGCAUGAGAACUGUUCCCGUUAGCUGAUCCUUCACAAGAAAACACGAGUCAAAAAAUUCAAUUGAGACUUUAUUGGUUUUACAAAGUUCGGAUACAGAGAUCAAUUUUUUUCGGAUACUGGGAACACAUAGUACAUUUGAUAAAGUAAUGGGUUUUGAGGUAGAGGAGAAUGUAAGCGAACCAAUAUGAGAGAUGGGCAAACCUGAGCCAUUGCCUAUUAUUACUUCAUCAGAACCUGUGUAAAGAGCAUGCUGAGAUAAAUUGUUAACGUCAGUAGUGACGUUGUGUGAAGCUGCAGAAUCAAGAAGCCAGGUUGGGUUCGGAUUCAGAGACGGACUGCUGUAGUUGCAUAUUGGGACACCUGGAUAAGGUAUCUGUGUAUUUGUUGAUGUUGCUGUAAAGUUGGCUAUAGGGUUGGAAGUUUGAGCUUGCAAUCUUGCAUAAUAAUUAUAUCNNNNNNNNNNNNNNNNNNNNNNNNNNNNNNNNNNNNNNNNNNNNNNNNNNNNNNNNNNNNNNNNNNNNNNNNNNNNNNNNNNNNNNNNNNNNNNCUAAAGGUUUGGAGCUUGAAAGAGAAUUUUCAGCAAAAGGGAGUCUAUGGCUUUUAUAACAAGCACAUGAAUUACAAAAGGAAUCAGAUUUAUUUCGUGUUACCGUCAAAGAAUUUUUAUUAAGAAUAUAUUGUAGAAUCUGAAAUGAAGGAUGGCCUAGUCGUUGAUGCCAAGUAGAAGUAGAAGUUGAUCUUGAUGCAAAUACUAAAGGACUUUUGAUUGAAGAAGACAAUGAAGGCCACUCGUACACUCCUUCCUUAUUCAGGCUGCGCUUGAGAACUGUUCCCGUUAGCUGAUCCUUUACAAGAAAACACGAGUCAAAAAAUUCAAUUGAGACUUUAUUGGUUUUACAAAGUUCGGAUACAGAGAUCAAUUUUUUUCGGAUACUGGGAACACAUAGUACAUUUGAUAAAGUAAUGGGUUUUGAGGUAGAGGAGAAUGUAAGCGAACCAAUAUGAGAGAUGGGCAAACCUGAGCCAUUGCCUAUUAUUACUUCAUCAGAACCUGUGUAAAGAGCAUGCUGAGAUAAAUUGUUAACGUCAGUAGUGACGUUGUGUGAAGCUACAGAAUCAAGAAGCCAGGUUUGGUUCGGAUUCAGAGACGGACUGCUGUAGUUGCAUAUUGGGACACCUGGAUAAGGUAUCUGUGUAUUUGUUGAUGUUGCUGUAAAGUUGGCUAUAGGGUUGGAAGUUUGAGCUUGCAAUCUUGCAUAAUAAUUAUAUCCAUCAGAACAUUUCUUAGCACUGUGUCCUUUUUGGUGACAAAUUUGACAAGUGCCUUGGUAACCUUUCCUGCGAUUUGGUUGUUGAUUCCAAUUGUUUGAUGGGUAAGGAUUAGGACCUGAGUAUCUUUGGUUAUUUUGGAAGGUUUGAGGUGGAUUUAAACUGGGUGGUCUUGAUGGAAAAAAUGGUUGAAGAGGUGCUCAAGGAUUUUGAGAAUAGUGUGAGAAAUUAUUAUAAUUUCUUUGUGUAGCAUGGGCUGAUAUGACGGGGUUGUAUGGUGUUUCUUCUGUUCGCGAGGAUUGCAAGGAUACUUCGACAUCAACGAGUUUGUCACGCAGGGUAGGGAAAGUAAUUGGUGUGCCUCUAGCUCGAAUAGCUGCAGCAAUUUCUUUGAAUUCAGGUUUGAUCUUUGUGUAGCAUGGGCUGAUAUGACGGGGUUGUAUGGUGUUUCUUCUGUUCGCGAGGAUUGCAAGGAUACUUCGACAUCAACGAGUUUGUCACGCAGGUCAAGGAAAGUAAUUGGUGUGUCUCUAGCUUGAAUAGCUGCAACAAUUUCUUUGAAUUCAGGUUUAAGUCCAUUAAGAAUCAUAACAGUGAGGUCAAUUUCGGAGACCGGAGUAUCAACCAAUGCAAGCUCAUUAGCCAUCGUUUUCAUACUCUGUAAAUACUCAGCUACAGGCCUGUUUUCUUGCUUCAUUCGUGACAUACGGCCUUUGAGAUUAACUACAUGGGUUCUGUUGUGGCUUUGAAAUGUUGAUGUGAGUGUAGUAAGGGCACCGAUGGAGUUUGCAGCUGAAGCAAUAAGAGAAGCAAUUUCUGGUUCUACUGAUGCAAUUAUUGCAUUUAGAAUAAAUUGAUCUUGGUGCUGCUAUAUGGUGUAAGCAAGAUUAAUGGUUGCUUUUCCAUCAUCACCGGUUAUUAUUGGAAGGGGACACUUUAUUGCACCUGUAACAAAACCAUGAAGAUCAUAUCCUAUUAGGACAAUGUUUAAUUGUGCUCUCCAGGUCAUAAAGUUGUAUUGAUUCAACUUGAGAGAAAGUUGUGAGGAUGUAUUUAUAACAAUCAGGUUGCCUGCAGAAUUGAACGCGCCAUCAGAAGAAAAAAAGGCAGCAGACACAGGAGAGGAAGAGGUGAUUAAGGUUGAGCUAGAAGCCAUGUUAUAGGUUUACUCGUAGGAGAAAUUAAUUGCUCUGAUACCAUAAAAGAACAAAAAGCAGAAUAUAUAUUGUAAACAGGACAGCUAAAAUAUUGGAGUAUUUUCACACAUUUCCAUUAACUGUAAUGCAUGUAUUUAUAUACAUCAUUUGUAACUAAUAAAGAGAAAAUAAAGGAAACUAUAUAUGAGAGUAUCAAGGAGAAUAAUGGAAGAGAUUGUUGUUCGUAACUUGUGGAGAGUAUCAUGGAGCUUGAGAUUAUCUGAUAUUAACGCUUUCUACAUAAAAUCAAUCAUUAAUUCAUCAAUCAUUUGCUUCACUAGCUGAAUUUACCAAAACUAGUAAAACUGAAAUGAUAAUAACAAAAUGCGGAAAUGAAAAACUUGGCUCAAUUCGUUGUCGUUUAGAGCAACAGGCUGUUCUCCUCCCCCUCGUUGUCGUCGCUGACGUCGCGUUCGUCGGAUUUGGCUCAUUCAGAUCUCUGAAUGCUGGUUUUAUUUUAUUUUUCUUCUGUUAAUGCAAAUGCAGAUUUGAGUUCAUCGGAUUUGGCUUCGUCCGGUUGGGGGCAUAAUGGCGCUAAUGGCAUAGAAGUAGUAGCUUUUUGUCAUUACUUUCUUCUUCUAAAGUUUUUUUUUCGUUACUUUUUUAUUAUUUUAAUAUUUUAUUUGCAUUAUUUUAAUUUUUAAAAUAAAAAGAGAGAUAGAAGUAGGGAUGGCAAUGGGGAGGGGAGGGGAGGGGACCAAUCUCCCCAUACCCAUCCCCGAUAUUUUACAUAUGUCCCCGUCCCCUCCCCGUCCCCAUCAGAAUUGCUUGAGAGAAUCCCCAUCCCCUCCCCGAAUAAUAACAGGGGAUCCCCGAGGGUCCCCGGUCCCCGAAUAACUAAUAGUCUAAUACAUUUUUUUUAUUUUCGAUUUUAAAUUAAUCAUAUUAAAAUAAACUCAUACCGCUAUUGUAAGCUCGUAACCAACUUUGACAGCACAUUAAGGCCUCCAAUGUGCUUGGAUGAAGUCUGUUAUGGUAUGGGCUCACAACUCUACCACUAGUGUUAAAAGCUGAUUCAGAAGCAACUGUUGUAAUUGGAAUUGCCAAAAUAUCUCUAGCAAUUCGAGCUAAUGUAGGAUACCUAUUAGCAUUUGUCUUCCACCAACUCAAAAUAUUAAAAUCUUCCAUCCGAGAUAUAACUUUCUCAUCCAAAUAUGAAUCUAAUUCAUCUGCAACAACUGCACAAUCUCCAUUGUUUACAUAAUCAUUAAAACCUGUCAUCCAUUUGGUUGCUUUCUUAUAAGAAUCCCCUGUAGAUCUAGUAGAAGAACUACUACCAGUAUAAUCAAAGCAAUAAACAGUUGGUGAAAACUUCAAUUAAUACUCUUCAACUAAUUCCCGGCAAAGGGUGACCACUUUCCCAACAUACAACUAUUUUGAUAUUUAUUAUUUUUAACAAUAUUUAUAAUUUUGUUAUUUAUUUAUUAGUAAUUUUAAAAAUAAAAAUAAAAUUAAAAAUUAAAAUGGGGAAAUGGGUAGGGCUGCUGUACCGUACAUCCGCCUUGGCCGUACAGCAGAUUUAUUGAGAAAAAAAAAGAAGUAAGACCCACAGAAAUGGCAACAGGCGCUGCCGUUUCUGUUGUCCCUUUGUUCGUUUAGCCCCAUUAGUGCUGCUACUUAGACAAUACCACAAUAAAGGGAAGACACGACAGCAUUUCCUAUCCUCCCUCUCUUCUAUUAAGGGCCCAUAAUAAGUUUAAAAAAAUAAUAUAUAAUAGUGCACAUGUGUGAAUAAAGUGAAAACUUUUUUUUUGGCUAUUGGAUAAGAGUUUUAACAUGAUUAUUAAAGUGGAAGGCCAUAACUUUAUAUGCAUCUCUUUUAGUUGUUUAUCACACAACUGAUAUCUGUAUUUCCAGCUCUAUAUUUGCUCGAUUUCAAUAACAUAAAAAAGGGUCAUAAGGAAGAAGAGAGAGAAGUUAGAUCUUGAUUUAUUCAAUAGUGGGAAAAAAAAGUGAAACAAAAUCAAUGGCAAUAGAUCUGCAAACAAAGGCAGCUUGAUAAAAUUGUUGAUAAUUGAUUGAUAAGUUGGUCUCUCUCAUACAUUCAAAUAAAGUUUUUGUUGUGUUCUGUAUAUUUAAAUGGUUAGAAAAAUUUUAAUUUAAAUUGUAAAAAUUCAUAGAUUUGUGCUUUUUAUAUAUUUAAAUUGUUAUGGAUUUUUUUUUUUACUUUCAAUUGUUAGGAAGUGGAAGGCCAUAACUUCAUAUGCAUCUCUUUUAGUUGUUUAUCACACAACUAAUAUCUGCAUUUCCAGCUCUGCUUUUGCUUGAUUUCAAUAACAUAAAAAAAAGCAGCCAUAAGGAAGAAGAGAGAGAAGUUAGAUCCGGAUUUUUUCAAUAACAGAAAAAAAAAAGUAAAACAAAACCAAUGGUAAUAGAUCUGCAAACAGAGGCAACUUCAUAAAAUUGUUGUUAAUUGAUUGGUAAGUUGGUCUCUCUCAUACAUUCAAAUAAAGUUUUUGUUGUGUUCUGUAUAUUUAAAUUGUUAGAAUGUUUUUAAUUUAAAUUGUAAAAAUUCGUAGAUUUGUGCUUUUUAUAUAUUUAAAUUGUUAUGAUUUUUUUUUUUUACUUUCAAUUGUUAGGAAGUGGAAGGCCAUAACUUCAUAUGCAUCUCUUUUAGUUGUUUAUCACACAACUAAUAUCUGCAUUUCCAGCUCUGCUUUUGCUUGAUUUCAAUAACAUAAAAAAAAGCAGCCAUAAGGAAGAAGAGAGAGAAGUUAGAUCCGGAUUUUUUCAAUAACAGAAAAAAAAAAGUAAAACAAAACCAAUGGUAAUAGAUCUGCAAACAGAGGCAACUUCAUAAAAUUGUUGUUAAUUGAUUGGUAAGUUGGUCUCUCUCAUACAUUCAAAUAAAGUUUUUGUUGUGUUCUGUAUAUUUAAAUUGUUAGAAUGUUUUUAAUUUAAAUUGUAAAAAUUCGUAGAUUUGUGCUUUUUAUAUAUUUAAAUUGUUAUGAUUUUUUUUUUUACUUUGAAUUGAUAAGAAGUAAUGGAUUAAAUUUAUAGCAAUUUUCUGGAUGUGUUUUAUAUAUGUUAGGAUUUUUUUAAUUUAAAUUACUGGAAAUAAUAGAAUAAAUUAUAACAAUUUAUGGAUGUGUUUUAUAUAUUUAAAUUGUUAGGAUUUUUUAAUUUAAAUUGUUGGAGAUAAUGGAAUAAAUUAUAAAAAUUUGUGGAUGUGUUUUAUAUUUAAAUUGUUAGGAUUUUUUGUUACUGGACAAGAAUAUUGUAAAAGUUUCUAAUUACUUAUUCUUAAUACAAAUGUUAAUUAUUUUGUAGAAAUUGAGAAUUUGGAAAAUGAGCAUGCAUUUGAAGAGUUGCAAGAAACAUGAGUCAACAAUGUAGAUGAAAUUGUGCAACCGAAAAAAUAUGAGCCAACUCUUGGAAUAUUAUUUAAUAGUCAUGAAGAAAUGUUUGCAUUUUACAAAGUUUAUGGUAAAACAAAAAGAGUUUCAUGUAAAGGUUUGAACUCCUAAGAAAAGGGACUGAUAGAAUUGUAAAGUAUGCGACAUUUGCAUGUGGCCGCAGCGGAAAAUCAGAAUGGAAAUCUACUAAUGUAUUGAAGCAGAAACUUGAUGUGAAAAAUGGUUGUGAUGCAUAAAUUGGAGGUUGUCUAAAUGAAGAUGGAAAAUGGGUUCUUCGAACUUUAAAUCUUCAAUACAACCAUGAAUUGAGUGUAGACAAAUUUAGGUAUUAAACAAAAUCAAACAAAUUAACGAACAAAAAUAGUUCCUCUAUGGAAGGAAAGUGAGAGGGAGAGAGUAUGUACGAGUGAGAGGUGACGACAAAAGAAAUUUGCAAAAAAAAGUCUACAAAAUUCGUAGAUUUAUUAGCUCUGUGCUGCAUCAACGACAAAUAAAAAUCUGCAAGGUUAGUUGGCGUGGUCACAGUAGAGAAGAGAUAAGGUUGGUUAGCCGGUUCUGUGAUGAUAGAGAAGAGAUGAAAAAUCACAAAAUUUAUUUUGUGAAAGACAAUUAGAGAUAAGGUAAAGAAAAGAUAAGGUUUGCUCUGAUAUCAUUUUUGGACUUCUCUUUUUUUUUUAUAUAUUUACUUUUUUAAAGUAAAUGUAGGCCCACAAAAAGGAAAUGAUAAAUGAAUGAAAUGAUAGCAAGUGGCUUCAAACAAAAUUCAAGCUACAAGUACAAGUCUAACUCAUAAUAAAAAAUUAUCUCAAGGAUUGAGAGUCAUCGUAAGUUCAUGUCAUUAGUCCAAUAAUUACUCUCAACACGAUAAUCUUCUCAACUCUAUUUGUCAAAGACCACAAAAUUGUUGACAAUUAAACCAAAUCAACCUCAAGUCCUCAUCAUCAGUUUCAAUCUAACUCUAAGGGAUCAAGAUUCUCUCCUGAUCUGAUCUCCUCCUGAUUAAAAAUAUAUGUGGUGAUUGAUAGUUAAUGAAUAAAAAAAAUAAAGAAAUUAAAUCAUAUUUAUACACUAUUACUUAAAGACACAUGACAUAAGAUCUUUAAAAACCCAUGAGAGCUUAGAUCAGGAGAGGGUCAUUGUCCAACUCUAAGACUAAGACAAAGGCUAAAGAGACUCGUGGCUGUUGCAUCAACUCUACCCCAUUCGAGAUCAAUACUUUGAUGAAAAAAUUGUAGCAGAGCUACCAAACUUGAGUAAUACAAAUUCAAAUAUGUUAGAUGACAGGGCAGCAUACUUAGCAUUUAUUAGUGUUCCGAAAGUUUAAAGUGGUCAGCCUUAUCUCUUAUCUUAUGAUUAAUUCAAGUUUUUUACUUUUACAUUUAUCAAGAUCAAGAUAAAGAUAACUAUUGUGAUGGCUUAUCGUGUUUCUUGUAAAGCACUAUAAAUGUAAUGAUUAUGUGGAGAAUUAAAUAUAACAAAAAAAAAGGUGCUUUAUUUCUUUUCCAAAAGGUGCUUUAUUUCUUUUCCAAGCCCAUCUUUAUAAUUCUAGUGUACAUAUUGAUCCGGUACCUAAAUUAUUCAAUAGCCAUAUUUGCAUUGAGCGUGAAUGUGACUUUGAAAUUUUAGAAAACCAAACAACUUGGAUAAGGUAGUUGAUUCCGUGUGUGGAAUAAAAGAAACUUAUCUCAAAACACUGACUUUAAACGCAAGCUCAUCGGUAUACAUAUGUCCGAAAUGAACUCAUUUUUCUUUUACCACAAGAAUUCUGAAGUCUUAGAGCCCCCAACCCCAAGGUAUAUGGGUACUUUCUUUUCUUGUUAAUUAAGGCAUGAUUUGAUUUGCUAGCUUUGUGUUGUGCACAGUAUCAGAGAUAACUAUAUCUAUUAUCCUGUAUAUUCUUAUUUUUUGUGGCCAUCGGAUGCAUGCAGGUGGUGACACAAUGGAAACAAUUCACGUAAAAGAGUCAACAAUAAUACGGCCUGCUCAAGAAACCCCCAGACAUUGCCUACGGUUGAGUGAUUUAGACCUGCUGAUGCCGGCAAGUCACAUCCCCAGUGUGUAUUUCUACCGAGGGCCAAAUUACCCUUGCAAUUUCUUUGAAGGUGGUUUACUGAAGGAGGCUUUGAGUAAAGUUCUUGUCCCGUUUUACCCCUUGGCCGGAAGAUUGGGUAAAGAUGAAAAUGGCAGAAUUGAAAUAAAAUGCAAAGGAGAGGGAGUUUUAUUUAUUGAAGCUGAAACGAGUUAUGUCACUGAUGAUUUUGGUGACUUUGAAUCAAGCUCGAAGCUCGUGCAACUUGUUCCACCUGUUGAUCGCACGAAAGAUGCAUGUUUUCAUCCACUUAUUAUGGCACAGGUAGAAGAAUAAGAAUAAAAAGAGAGCUCGUGUAUUUCCUCAUUUUAUUAAAAAUGAAAUUAGGAGCUAUUCCAUCAAAAGAAUUAUUCAUAAUACUCACUCAAACUUAGUCACUUUAUUUCUUUAUAGGUAACUCAUUUUAAGUGUGGAGGAGUUUCUCUUGGACUUAUGAUGCAUCAUCUGCCAAUGGACGGAACUACGGCAUAUCACUUCAUGAACUCAUGGGCUGAGAUGUCGCGUGGCAUUCCUAUUAGCGUUCCACCAAUCUUUGAUCGAACUAUACUAGAUGUUGGAGUCCCAACUUCUCCAUCAUUUCACCACAUCGAACACGAUCCCCCUCCUUUCAUGAAUAGUCCUACUCAAAAUCCUCAAGCCAUUUCCACUGCAAUCCUGAAAUUAUCACCUGAUCAAAUGAACAUCCUUAAAGAAAAAUCUAAGGGAGAUCACGGAUCCACCGUCAAGUAUACUAGAUUUGAGAUUGUAGCAGCACAUAUAUGGCGCUGCGCAUGUAAAGCACGAGGGUUGUCUAUUGAUCAAGCUACCAAGUUAGAGAUUCCCACAUCUGGGCGAUUUAAAUUGAAUCCUAAAAUUCCACUUGGGUAUUGUGGCAAUGUAAACUUCAGCGCCACACCAAUGGCCUUGUCAGGUGAUAUUCAAUCGGAAUCGUUAAAUUGUACAACAGAGAGAAUUCAUGAAGCAAUUAAAUUGAGGGAUGACAAGUAUAUGAAGUCAGGGCUUGCCUACCUAAAGCAACAACCUGAUUUAACAGUUAUCAGGCGAGACCCCAAAAUUAUUAAUUGUCCAAACCUGCUGAUAACCAAAGUAGCAGACAUGCCUAUGUACGAGGUAGAUUUUGGAUGGGGUCGGCCGGUGUUUACGACGCCUUGGGCCGCCGUGGACGGAGAGAUUUUCAUUUUACCUGGUCCAACCAAUGAUGGGAGCUGGUUGGUGGUUGUAGACAUGGAAACUAACCACUUGCAGCACUUCAACAAGUAUUUUUAUGAUAUCUUUCCGUAAUCCCACGAUGUAAUAAUGUCUUUGGGUGGAUACUUACGAUUGGGUCCGCCUUCGUUACACUUAAUGUAACUUACGGUGAGUCUGUGAAGUUUCAUCUAAUCUCCUAUGUUCUAUGUAAUUUAUAUUUUAUUCAUGAAUAUUAUAAACUUUUUGAAAUGUCAAAUUUCGUUUAACCCCUUAUACUCAAUUUUAUUUUAUUGAAAUCUUAGAGUAUGAAUUCGCCUCUAUAAUUUUAAACUCUCAAAAUAAUUUUUAUUUAAUUAAAAAAUAUAAUUAUUGUUAAAUGAAUUAUAAUUAUAAUUAUUAUUUUAUUAUAAUCAUAAACUGCUGUACUAUAAUCAUAAAUAUUUUUUAAAUAAAUUAUUAUUAUUAUUAAUAAUAAGAAUAAAAGAUAUUAUAAUUAAUUAAUCUAUUAACAAUAAUUAAUAAUAUUUUUUAACCCGUAAACACCGGCCGACCCCAUGCAAAAUCUACCUCGUACAUAGGCAUGUCUGCUACUUUGGUUAUCAGCAGGUUUGGACAAUUGACCCUCUUAUUAUUUGCUGAUAUGUUUCUAAUAAUGAACCCCCUUUUGUCCUUUUGAAAUGAUUAAUGAAGUGCUUGAGUGCAUUGAAGUUAUUUUAAAAGUACACAUAAAGAUUUGACAUUUACUUAUUUUUUAAAAAUAAAAAAGCAGGUAAAAUUUAAAUUAAUUUUUUAUUUCUUAUUUUUUAAUUCAGAUUGUCAAUUGAAUCCAUUUGUUAAAAAAUUAUUUAAUUAUCUCUUUAUGUUCGAACGAUGAUGACUUUAAAUAAUAAUUCUUACAAAUCACUCAAUUAAGUCCACCGGGCCAAUUAAAUAUUAUUUGUUUAUAUUAAUUUUAAUUCAAUUGAAAUUCCAUAGUAAUUUAACCUAAAGUUUAACACUCACAAAUAAUUUAUAGUUCAUUGUAAUUCCACAAAAUUAUUAGUUCUUGUAAUUUAAAUUAUUUUAAGGAAUUGAAUCAUAAUAUUUUGAAUUUAAUUCAAUCUUUCACGUGACUUUGUUGAAUAAAACUGACGGAUGUGUUUUAUAUAUUUAAAUUGUUAGGAUUUUUUUAAUUUAAAUUGUUAGAAAGUAAUGGAUUAAAUUUAUAGCAAUUUCUGGAUGUGUUUUAUGUAUGUUAGGAUUUUUCUAAUUUAAAUUGUUGGAGAUAAUGGAAUAAAUUAUAAAAAUUUGUGGGUGUGUUUUAUAUAUUUAAAUUGUUAUGUUAAUGGACAAAAUGUUAUAAAAGUUUCUAAUUACUUAUUCUUAAUACAAAUGUUAAUUAUUUUGUAGAAAUGGAGAAUUUGGAAAAUGAGCAUGCAUUUGAAGAGUUGCAAGAAACAAGAGCCAACAAUGUAGAUAAAAUUAUGCAACCGAAAAAAUAUGACCCAACUCUUGGGAUAUUAUUUAAUAGUCAUGAAAAAAUGUUUGCAUUUUACAAAGUCUAUGAUAAAUAAGAAGGGUUCCUGUAAAGGUUCGAACUACUAAGAAAGUGACUGAUGAAAUUGUAAAAUAUGCGACAUUUGCAUGUGGUCGUAGCGACAAGUUAGAAAGGAAAUCUGUUAAUGCAUUGAAGCCGAAACCUAAUGUGAAAAAUGGUUGUGAUGCAAAAAUUGGAGGUUGUCUAAAUGAAGAAGGAAAAUGGGUCCUUCGAACUUUAAAUCUUCAACACAACCAUGGAUUGAGUCCAGACAAAGCUAGGUAUUACACAAAAUCAAACAAAUUAACGAACUAAAAUAGUUCCUCUAUGGAAGGAAAGUGAGAGGGAGAGAGUAUAUACAAAUGAGAGGUGACGGCAAAAGAAAUUUGCAAAAGAAAGUCUGCAAAAUUUGUAGAUCUAUUGGCUUUGUGCUGCAUCGACGGCAAAGGAAAAUCUACAAGGUUGGUUGGCAUGGUCACGGUAGAGAAGAGAUAAGGUUGGUUAGCCGGUUCUGUGAUGGUAGAGAAGAGAUAAAAAAAUCGUAAAAUUGAUUUUGUGAAAGACAAUUAGAGAUAAAGUAGAGACGGUUGAGAAGAAAUAAGGUUUGAUCUGAUAUCCUUUUCAGACUUCUCUUUUAUUUUUUUAUUAAUAUUUAUUUUUUUUUUAAAGUAACUAUGGGCCCAUGAAGAGAAAAUGAUAAGUGAACGAAACGCAACGAGUGGCUUUAUUUCUUUUUCGAGCCCGUUUUAUAAUUAAAGUGUACAUAUUGAUUAGGUGGCUAAAUUAUUCAAUAACCAUAUUUAAAUGUAGCGCAGCGUGAAUGUUACUUUGAAAUUUUAGAAAAUCAAACAACUUGGAUAAGGUAAUUGAUUCCGCGUGUGGAAUAAAAAAAACUUAUCUCAAAAUAUUGGCUUUAAACGCAAGUUCAUCGGUAUACAUAUGUCCGAAAUGAACUCAUUUUUCAUUUACCAUAAGAAUUCUGAAGUCUUAGAGCUCCCAACCCCCAGGUAUAUGGGUACUUUCUUUUCUUGCUAAUUAAGGCAUAAUUUGAUUUGUGUUGUGCAUAGUAUCAGAGUUAACUAUAUCUAUUAUCCUGUAUAUUCUUAUUUUUCGUGGCCAUCGGAUGCAUGCAGGUGGUGACACAAUGGAAACAAUUCACGUAAAAGAGUCAACAAUAAUACGGCCUGCUCAAGAAACCCCCAGACAUUGCCUACGGUUGAGUGAUUUAGACCUGCUGAUGCCGGCAAGUCACAUCCCCAGUGUGUAUUUCUACCGAAUUACUUAUUCUUAAUACAAAUGUUAAUUAUUUUGUAGAAAUGGAGAAUUUGGAAAAUGAGCAUGCAUUUGAAGAGUUGCAAGAAACAAGAGCCAACAAUGUAGAUAAAAUUAUGCAACCGAAAAAAUAUGACCCAACUCUUGGGAUAUUAUUUAAUAGUCAUGAAAAAAUGUUUGCAUUUUACAAAGUCUAUGAUAAAUAAGAAGGGUUCCUGUAAAGGUUCGAACUACUAAGAAAGUGACUGAUGAAAUUGUAAAAUAUGCGACAUUUGCAUGUGGUCGUAGCGACAAGUUAGAAAGGAAAUCUGUUAAUGCAUUGAAGCCGAAACCUAAUGUGAAAAAUGGUUGUGAUGCAAAAAUUGGAGGUUGUCUAAAUGAAGAAGGAAAAUGGGUCCUUCGAACUUUAAAUCUUCAACACAACCAUGGAUUGAGUCCAGACAAAGCUAGGUAUUACACAAAAUCAAACAAAUUAACGAACUAAAAUAGUUCCUCUAUGGAAGGAAAGUGAGAGGGAGAGAGUAUAUACAAAUGAGAGGUGACGGCAAAAGAAAUUUGCAAAAGAAAGUCUGCAAAAUUUGUAGAUCUAUUGGCUUUGUGCUGCAUCGACGGCAAAGGAAAAUCUACAAGGUUGGUUGGCAUGGUCACGGUAGAGAAGAGAUAAGGUUGGUUAGCCGGUUCUGUGAUGGUAGAGAAGAGAUAAAAAAAUCGUAAAAUUGAUUUUGUGAAAGACAAUUAGAGAUAAAGUAGAGACGGUUGAGAAGAAAUAAGGUUUGAUCUGAUAUCCUUUUCAGACUUCUCUUUUAUUUUUUUAUUAAUAUUUAUUUUUUUUUUAAAGUAACUAUGGGCCCAUGAAGAGAAAAUGAUAAGUGAACGAAACGCAACGAGUGGCUUUAUUUCUUUUUCGAGCCCGUUUUAUAAUUAAAGUGUACAUAUUGAUUAGGUGGCUAAAUUAUUCAAUAACCAUAUUUAAAUGUAGCGCAGCGUGAAUGUUACUUUGAAAUUUUAGAAAAUCAAACAACUUGGAUAAGGUAAUUGAUUCCGCGUGUGGAAUAAAAAAAACUUAUCUCAAAAUAUUGGCUUUAAACGCAAGUUCAUCGGUAUACAUAUGUCCGAAAUGAACUCAUUUUUCAUUUACCAUAAGAAUUCUGAAGUCUUAGAGCUCCCAACCCCCAGGUAUAUGGGUACUUUCUUUUCUUGCUAAUUAAGGCAUAAUUUGAUUUGUGUUGUGCAUAGUAUCAGAGUUAACUAUAUCUAUUAUCCUGUAUAUUCUUAUUUUUCGUGGCCAUCGGAUGCAUGCAGGUGGUGACACAAUGGAAACAAUUCACGUAAAAGAGUCAACAAUAAUACGGCCUGCUCAAGAAACCCCCAGACAUUGCCUACGGUUGAGUGAUUUAGACCUGCUGAUGCCGGCAAGUCACAUCCCCAGUGUGUAUUUCUACCGACGGCCAAAUUACCCUUCCAAUUUGUUUGAAGGUGGUUUACUGAAGGAGGCUUUGAGUAAAGUUCUUGUCCCGUUUCACCCAUUGGCCGGAAGAUUGGGUAAAGAUGAAAAUGGCAGAAUUGAAAUAAAAUGUAACGGAAAGGGAGUUUUAUUUAUUGAAGCUGAAACGAGUUGUGUCACUGAUGAUUUUGGUGACUUUGAAUCAUGCUUGAAGCUCGUGCAACUUGUUCCACCUGUUGAUCGCACGAAAGAUGCAUAUUUUCAUCCACUUAUUAUGGCACAGGUAGAAGAAUAAGAAUAAAAAGAGAGCUCGUGUGUUUCCUCAUUUUAUUAAAAUGAAAUUGAGAGCUACUCCAUCAAAAGAAUUAUUCAUAAUACUCACUCAAACUUAGUCACUUUAUUUCUUUAUAGGUAACUCAUUUUAAGUGUGGAGGAGUUUCUCUUGGACUUAUGAUGCAUCAUCUGCCAAUGGACGGAACUACGGCAUAUCACUUCAUGAACUCAUGGGCUGAGAUGUCGCGUGGCAUUCCUAUUAGCGUUCCACCAAUCUUUGAUCGAACUAUACUAGAUGUUGGAGUCCCAACUUCUCCAUCAUUUCACCACAUCGAACACGAUCCCCCUCCUUUCAUGAAUAGUCCUACUCAAAAUCCUCAAGCCAUUUCCACUGCAAUCCUGAAAUUAUCACCUGAUCAAAUGAACAUCCUUAAAGAAAAAUCUAAGGGAGAUCACGGAUCCACCGUCAAGUAUACUAGAUUUGAGAUUGUAGCAGCACAUAUAUGGCGCUGCGCAUGUAAAGCACGAGGGUUGUCUGUUGAUCAAGCUACCAAGUUAGAUAUUCCUACAUCUGGGCGAUUUAAAUUGAAUCCUAAAAUUCCAUUUGGGUAUUGUGGCAAUGUAGGCUUCAGCACCACACCAAUGGCCUUGUCAGGUGAUAUUCAAUCGGAAUCGUUAAAUUGUACAACAGAGAGAAUUCAUGAAGCACUUAAAAUGACGGAUGACAAGUAUAUGAAGUCAGGGCAUGCUUACCUAAAGCAACAACCUGAUUUAACAGUUAUCAGGCGAGACGCCAAAAUUAGUAAUUGUCCAAACCUGCUGACAACCAAAUUGGCAGACAUGCCUAUGUACGAGGUGGAUCUUGGAUGGGGUCGGCC
rnacentral:lncRNA from 1 species